rnacentral:rRNA from 1 species
UACGGGGGGGCAAGCGUUGUUCGGAAUUACUGGGCGUAAAGGGCUCGUAGGUGGCCAACUAAGUCGGAUGUGAAAUCCCCAGGCUCAACUUGGGAACUGCAUCCGAUACUGGAUGGCUUGAAUCCGGGAGAGGGAUGCAGAAUUCCAGGUGUAGCGGUGAAAUGCGUAGAUAUCUGGAGGAACAUCGGUGGCGAAGGCGGCAUCCUGGACCGGUAUUGACGCUGAGGCGCGAAAGCCAGGGGAGCAAACGGG